rnacentral:rRNA from 1 species
AGGGAUUCCUUAGUAACGGCGAGUGAAGCGGGAAGAGCUCAAAUUUGAAAUCUUCAAGGUUCUACCUUGACGAAUUGUAGUUUAUAGAAGUGUUUUCUGUUAGUAGAGUGGCAAAAGUUCUUUGGAAUAGGACAUCAUAGAGGGUGAGAAUCCCGUAUUUGGUCAUUCUUUCUAGCUUUGUGAUACACUUUCAACGAGUCGGAUUGUUUGGGAAUGCAGUCCAAAAUGGGUGGUAAAUUUCAUCUAAAGCUAAAUAUUGGCGAGAGACCGAUAGCGAACAAGUACCGUGAGGGAAAGAUGAAAAGAACUUUGAAAAGAGAGUUAAACAGUACGUGAAAUUGUCAAAAGGGAAGCGUUUGACACCAGUGUUGUUUUUCCGAAAAUCAAUUACGAAUGUUUUUGUUUUUGAGAAGUUAUGACUUCAUCGGCUUGCUUCUUUCUUUUAUGAAACUUUCUUAAUGCACUUUUCGGUUAACAAGUCAACAUCAAUUUCUUUUGUUUGUAAAAGGGUAAGGAGGAAAGGUGGGCUUUCUUUUCGGGAGAAGUGUUUAUAGCCCUUGUACCUCUGCAAUCGGAGAGGAUUGAAGUCUGCAGCGUAAAUCCUUCGGGGGUAGAUACCAUUUGUGGCUAGUUAUAGCUUUUCAAGACCAACUUGGUGGACAAUUUUAAGUCUGUAGCUAAUCGCUUAAGCCAUUUUAACCUACGCUAAGAGGUUGACAAUGGGUUUUAAAAAAC